GACUUCCUGCUUUCAUCUCUUUGAGACCCUGUUCGUUGGGUACAAAGAGCUGGUGCAGUAAGCUGCAAUGGUCCCACCUUGGAAUCUGAGUGAUAGCCUGGUAUUAGAGAUACGUCCAACACCAAUAGAAGUUCUUCCCAAGGAAUUUACUUUUCCUGUACAGGUGCAAACUAGGAACUCCUGUUUGAGGCUGAGCCUCUGACAACUGCAAGGCAAAGAAUAAAAGAAGUUGCUUAGGGCACUGAAGUACAAAUUCCUGGUUGUGCCGCUGCUGUUAUUAUGAAGAGGGUUACAAGGACAAAAUGCCUAAGGGAAAGACAACAGAAUGACCCAAAGGACUACCCACACUACCAUAGAUCAAGAGCAUUUCCGAACUGACAGCCAGACUACUGUGACCACUAGGACUCAACAGCACACAAACCAACAGCCACUCUCAGACAACAACUCACCAGGACGAAGGACCCGAUACCCAGCAUGAGCAAAACCAAUGUAGUGUACAAAAUCCCAUGCAAGGACUGCACAAAACACUACAUAGGACAAAAAGGAAGACAGCUAACGGUCCGCAUCCAUGAACACCAACUAGCCACGAAACGACACGACCAGCUAUCCUUAGUAGCCACACACUCAGAGGACAAGCAACAUGAAUUUGACUGGGGCAACACUGCUAUUAUAGGACAAACCAAACAGAGAACAGCCAGGGAAUUCCUAGAGGCAUGGCACUCAUUCACAGAUUCAAUCAAUAAGCACAUCGACCUCGACCCAAUAUACCGGCCACUGCAGCGGACAGCUGGAACUGACAACCGAAAGCGGCAGGUACAAACCACUAUAAAUGCCGGAGAAACAUCACAGAAGCGCUUCACAGGAGGUUCCCCAGCACUGAGAAUGUCACAGACAGGGGACGAAACGUCUGCAACACAAAUUCCCAGCUCUGCGAACAGAACCACAUCAACCUUCUUCACUAACCUAUUUACCUGCAACUCCACUUUCAAGAAAUGAUGGACCUGUACUCCAAGAUCCUUUUUCUCAGCAACACUCCCCAGGCCCUUACCAUUAAGUGUAUAAGUCCUGCCAUGAUUUGCCUUUCCAAAAUGCAGCACCUCACAUUUAUCUAAAUGAAACUCCAUCUGCCACUCCUCAGAUCAUUGGCCCAUCUGAUCAAAAUCAGAUUAUUCUGAGGUAACCACCUUCGCUGUCCACGACACCUCCAAUUUUAUAUCAUUUGCAAACUUACUAACAAUACUUCCUAUGUUCACAUCCAAAUCAUUUAUAUAAAUGACAAAAAGCAGUAGACCUAUGACGGAGACAAAAGAGCAAGUUAGUAAUUUGGCAAACUUUUACCAUUUGGGCAGCUGUGGGGAAAAUGGAACAGCUUUAAACUUGCAGCAGAUCAUUUUCAGAAGCCAGGAAAAAUUUAUUUCAUUUAUUUAUUUAUUUAUUUAUUUAGUUCUGAUCUUUUGAGGAUGUGAAUUUUUUUUUAUUUUUUCACUCUUAAGG